CAAAAGAAAACCUUACGUCUUCAUCCGUCUCCCAUAGCCUUUUAGGGUUCAUCCUAUUGUUCGAUCUCUGACGACUUCUCUGACUCCAUGAAUGGAGGUUGGAGAGAUUUAGUGGCUCAACCCGGUUUUAUCGACAAAGCAUGAAGGGAGACGAUUCGAUCUUAGAUUUAAUGCCUCCAAGGAAGAAGCAUAAUAAAGGACCCAACAAGGUUAGGUGUUAGAUAAACCCUAAUCAUAGUAAUAAGAUUUUUGCAAGUAGUUCUAUCUACCUGAUUAAUACCUGUAAACAAAUGUUUAAGCAAAUCUCAGAAACGGAAGCUGAAGAAACUUGAGGAAGACAGGAAGAAAGAGCUCCUCUCUGCAAAAACUUCCAAGUUGUUAGACAAGUAUAAAAUAUCUCAGGAUGUGUCUUCGCUUUUCCAAUCUUCAAAAGCCAUAGGUAGAUCUGAUAAGAAGCUGGAGAAACGCAUGAGACCAAUGCAACUAUCUAAAGCUGGUGUUUUGUCUGAUGAACCAGUCAAGGAAAAUGACAACUCUGAUUCAUGUAUGGACGAGCCUACCACACCUGAAAUCCAUAUCCCAACUCUUCAUACUGAUUCUCACCAACUUAUUCAUCCCAAUGAACUCGAUUCCAAAGUAAUGAUAAUCUCUGCUGAAGAGUCCCGUGAAGAAGAAUGUUCCUUUAUGAAGCUGGUUUUGGUUCAAAGCAAGUUAAUUCUCGAAGUGGGGUUAUUGGUAUUACACAGCCACGUCGUGUUGCUGUCCGUCCUCGCCACUGCCGAGAGGGUGGCUCAUGAGCUUGGUGUUCACCUCAGUCAAGGAGUCGGUUUCAAAGGUAGGUGCGACAAAAAGAUUGGCGAGAACUCAUCUAUAAGUUUAUAAACGAUGGGAUAAAUCUGUGAAGUUAAGUGAUUGCAGGCAGCAUAGAUUUUAAAAGAUCUUUAAGCUACAGAGGCAUUCUUCAUACACCCACCAGUCAUCCUCCAACUUAUUUGGCUUCCUAAUUCCAUGUAACAUUUAUGUUCAGUUGAUAUAAUAUAUCCCUCCUGGUAAUAAGAUCUAGGGGAGCAGUGGCCAUGUGGUUGACGGAAUGACGGUGAUCAGCAUGCAAAUACUGUGUAGAUGGUGAUUUUGCUUCAGCUACAUCGGUGUUGGGAGUCAGAAACCGCGUGGUGUACAAGCUUGCGCUGGUUCCUCUCAAACAGUCUCUUUUCUUCCUCUUCGCAACUCCAACCUUAGGGUGAAUAUGAAUCUUGGUUUAUGUCUCCCUCAUUAAGUCAGCCGUCGCAAUGAACGUAAAGAGAGUAGUAAUCAUAUACACAAAGCUGCAAUGGCUAUCAACAGCAGCAUCAUUAGUGUCUUACAUGGCAAAUCUUCCAAAGGUUUAUGUUACGUUCAGUAACUAUGUUACGGCUGAGAGAGCAGAGAUUCUGCUCUAUUGUUUGAAACAUUGUUGCCUUGGAUUAUCUCAAUUGUAUAUGCAAGAUUCUGUAAAAUAAGGAUGUUACGAGAGAGUUGUUGAAGAGCCGUUCAAGAGUACUUCAAGGUUUAGCUUUUAACAUAGUUGCUUGGAAUGAUUCUGUUAUCUUUGCAGACAAAAUCAUGAGGCGUAGUGAAUAACCUUUUAUAGGUUUUCCAAUUUACUUCUAUAUUUAUUUAUUUUCCUUAUGUUCUGAUCUAUCUCCUGUAAAUUUAUUUCAGAUCAAAAUCAAUGUGAAAUCUAGAACUAAAGCAUUUACUUCCUUUUUCUUAA